GUAUUUGAUUGAGGGGUUCUACAUAUACAAGUUUGAGAAAAUUUACUGAGGAUCCAAGAUAAAAAAACUAUAAGGUACCGAUAAAAUAUUAGAAAUUAAAGGAAAUCAACAUCUUGGAAAGCUUAUACUCUAAUUCUGGACUGAGAUUUAUGCAGAAUCUCGUAAUUUGGACCUGAAGAUUUACAUUACAAUAUUGGACAGGCAUACAACUUUUUG
rnacentral:sRNA from 1 species